rnacentral:lncRNA from 1 species
AGGCUGGCCUUCCCGGCCCGGAGCCCGACUCUAAGCUGACGGGGAACCCCUUGUCAGGGCGGGACCCCACACCUAGGGGAAGGCCUCGCUACGGCUCUCUGCAAGCCCAGGCCGCUCUCUUCCGUUCCCAGUGCUUCCGUUCGCCGCCCUUCUCUCCGCCUCUCUUGCGCCUGAGUUAAGGACUGGGAGGGAUCGGCUCCGCCACUGAGCAGGACAGCCCACGGGCGAGGCAGGCAGACGCCCUACCUCUUGAUUUGGUUAUGAUGUGACAUGCGAUGCAACCACGCUGGCCGGAAGCUGGGGCUGCCCUGGCGCGGGGAUGGUACCUGGGAGGAGAGGCCAGCCUUCGUAUCUUUUGAUUCUUCUAUCGCUUUUCCCCCACCUCCCCAUCCCCAUCUCAUCCCGUGCCAAAAUUCCGGCUGAGUCACGGCACUCCAGAGCGCGCCAGACUGAAUGGGGGGGAAGUACAAG